ACUUAAGAAACUUGAGAUCCUUCCUAACGUUAACAACAAAUUGAAGUUUAAACACCUCCUUUACCCUUUCAAAGAUUCUUACUAUGUUUCUGACCAAUUUUACUUACGUGGUAUUGUAAAGUAUGUUGACUUUAUAUUGCUGUACAUUUGAAUAGCAUCACAGAAGAAAGACAAGAAAUCUAAAGAUGAAUCAUAUAAAAUCUUUUUGCUAUGAAGGGGGGAACAGAUCAAGAAAUGUCAUACUUCAAUAGCUACAGCUGCUUAGGUAUGAGAGAGUUCCCAAAUGCAGUACUGAGAAGAGAAAAAAAGGCAACUAGAAUGUAUGACACCAACAAAAAUAUUUUUCUUUUUGAAUUAAAAAUAAGAAUACUGGGGACUUCCCUGGUGGUGCGGUGCUUAAGAAUCCACAUGCCAAUGUAGGGGACACGGGUUCGAUCCCUGGUCCGGGAAGACCCCAUGUGCCGGGGAGCAACUAAGCCUGUGAGCCACAACUACUGAAGCCCAUGUGCCUAAAGCCCGUGCUCCGCAACAAACUCCACCGCAAUGAGAAGCCUGUGCACCACAAUGAAAAGUAGCCCCCACUUGAUGCAACUGAGAAAGCCUGCAUGCAGCAACAAAGACUCAACGCAGCCAUAAAU